GUGGGGAAUUUUGGACAAUGGGGGAAACCCUGAUCCAGCAAUGCCGCGUGUGUGACGAAGGCCUUCGGGUUGUAAAGCACUUUUGGCGGGAACGAAACGGUGCUCUCUAAUACAGAGUGCUAAUGACGGUACCCGCAGAAUAAGCACCGGCUAACUACGUGCCAGCAGCCGCGGUAAUACGUAGGGUGCAAGCGUUAAUCGGAAUUACUGGGCGUAAAGCGUGCGCAGGCGGUUUCGUAAGACAGAUGUGAAAGCCCCGGGCUCAACCUGGGAAGUGCAUUUGUGACUGCGAGACUAGAGUGUGUCAGAGGGAGGUAGAAUUCCACGUGUAGCAGUGAAAUGCGUAGAGAUGUGGAGGAAUACCGAUGGCGAAGGCAGCCUCCUGGGAUAACACUGACGCUCAUGCACGAAAGCGUGGGGAGCAAACAGGAUUAGAAACCCGUGUAGUCC
rnacentral:rRNA from 1 species